rnacentral:misc_RNA from 1 species
GAUGAAGAACGCAGCGAAAUGCGAUAAGUAAUGUGAAUUGCAGAAUUCAGUGAAUCAUCGAAUCUUUGAACGCACCUUGCGCUCCUUGGUAUUCCGAGGAGCAUGCCUGUUUGAGUGUCAUGAAUCUCUCAAACUCUUAGUUUCAUUACUGAGUGUUUGGAUUUGGAGGUCUAUGCUGGCGCAAGUCAGCUCCUCUUAAAUACAUUAGCUUGGGUCUUGCAUGUCUGGAUCCUUGGUGUGAUAAUUAUCUACGCCAUGAUGUCCCUUCAAGCCCUGCUUCUAAUCGUCUGAAUAAGACAAUUUAUUACUUGACAUCUGACCUCAAAUCAGGUAGGACUACCCGCUGAACUUAAGCAUAUCAUAAGCGGAGGA